CCUACGGGCGGCAGCAGUAGGGAAUAUUGCUCAAUGGGGGAAACCCUGAAGCAGCAACGCCGCGUGGAGGAUGAAGGUUUUAGGAUUGUAAACCUCUUUUGUCGGGGAGCAAAAGACGCCACGCGUGGCGUUCCGAGAGUACCCGAAGAAAAAGCAUCGGCUAACUCCGUGCCAGCAGCCGCGGUAAUACGGAGGAUGCGAGCGUUAUCCGGAUUUAUUGGGUUUAAAGGGUGCGCAGGCGGAAGAUCAAGUCAGCGGUAAAAUUGAGAGGCUCAACCUCUUCGAGCCGUUGAAACUGGUUUUCUUGAGUGAGUGAGAAGUAUGCGGAAUGCGUGGUGUAGCGGUGAAAUGCAUAGAUAUCACGCAGAACUCCGAUUGCGAAGGCAGCAUACCGGCGCUCAACUGACGCUCAUGCACGAAAGUGUGGGUAUCGAACAGGAUUAGAUACCCCUGUAGUC
rnacentral:rRNA from 1 species